UGCAAGUUGAGUUUCCGUUGGGGACCGCGAACUGUACAUACUGUUCCAAAGAGAACACGCCUCUUCAACAAAUCUAGAGGAGGAGGAAUGUGAGCCACCCUCUUCAUCUCCUACAACACCGUAUCUCCCACUAGCUACAGCCAGGGUUUGUGAGCCACUCUGCACACCUGCAUGUCCCCCACCCAGUGCAUCCCGGGCUGUGGAGACCCCUGUCAGCAGGGAGAAGGGACGAGGAAACAAAAGGAGAGCAGAGCAAGAGGUAGAGCUCACUGGCUACCACUGGGAACUCCUUGCCACCAUCAACAAACCCCUUGAUGAGGAGGAACAUUUUUUCAUGAGCAUGAUCCCUGCCGUGAAACGCUUGCGACCACGCAAAAGGGCUGAAGUCAAACUGAAAUUCAUGCAGAUAUUAAUAGAAGCAGAGUUUGACAAUGACCUUGAGGGUUAGGUUUUUCUUUUUUUCUGAUAAGAAAUUUUAAGAAGAAGAAAGUGCUGCGACGGAAACAACGAUAGAUUUACGUUCACAGGUAUCACGCCUGCUUGACUGUAUGUUGUAAUGGUUAUCUGGACCCAUCAUUCAACAGACCGAUGCAGCACUCUGCUGAACAA